UAAACCCUAAUUCUUCU
rnacentral:sRNA from 1 species